GCCGUGCCGAGUUCAACGAGAUAUCCCGCUUGACCGUAGCUCGCUUGCAUUUUACAACCAUAUUUUUAUUUUUGGGUUACCAGGUGCCUAUUUUAAACAGUCCAUAAAGCACUCAGGGCGGCCCCCAUGGAUAGAGGGUCGUAGUAGGGUACUCCCAUAGCGGGCAUGGACAAUAGGAGUCCCGGUAAAUGCAUUUACAACCAUAUUUUUAUUUUUGGGUUACCAGUUGCACAACAACGCACGUGCAUUUGCAAUAUGAUUCUAUAGUGAAAAAACACCACCAAAUGGACAUGAUGAAAUCAACACAACGAGUGAUGGAAAGGAACAACUAUCACUGCCAGGGCCAUCCUGUGUUCCCAUAGCGGGCAUUAAUAUCAGAAUGACCGGUAAAUGCAUUUUGGAGCAUAUUUUAAUUUUUGGGUUACCGGGUGCACAACAAUCAGUAUCCAUCGUAAUAUUUUAAACAGUCCACAAAGCACUCAGGACGGCCCUGACAGAGAGAGGGCCGUAGUAGGGUGCUUCCAUAUCGGGCAUUAAUAUGAGAAUGACCCUUAAAUGCAUUUAGGACCAUAUUUUAAUUUUUGGGUUCCCAGGUGCACCCACUUUAUUUUGGGUUCCCAGGUGCACAACUUCUAUUUUGGGUCACCAGGUGCACGCGGUUCCUAACAGCGCAGCUAUCUGCUUUAUAGCCCGAGGGAGGGUGCUUAAGUGUGGGUGCCCUGGUUCACCUGGUGUGCGAGGUUGUGGAUGUGGGGGGGGGGUCCCAUGCUGGAAUCAUCCCCGGAAAUAGAGGAGUGUUACCUGGGUGGUGAGUAAGGGCCUACAAGCCUGGAGGACCAUAUUUUAAUUUUUGGGUUACCAGUUGCACAGCAAUGAGUAUCCAUCAGAACAUGUUAAAGUGUCCAUACAUCACUCAGGACGGCCCCUAUGGAAAGAGGGCCGUAGUAGGGUACUCCUAUAUCGGGCAUUAAAAUCAGCAUGACCGGAAAAUGCAUGUAGGACCAUGUUUUAUUUUUUGGGUUACCAGUUGCACGUUUUCAAUCACCAGUUGCACAACAAUCAGUAUCCAUCGUGAUAUUUUAAAGUGUCCAUAAAUCACUCAGGACGCCCCCGACAGAGAGAGAGGGCCGUAGUAGGGUACUCCUAUAACAGGGCAUUAAUAUGAGAAUGACCCUUAAAUGCAUUUUGGAGCAUAUUUUAAUUUUUGGGUUCCCAGGUGC
ensembl:lncRNA